rnacentral:rRNA from 1 species
UUCACGGAGAGUUUGAUCCUGGCUCAGGACGAACGCUGGCGGCGCGCUUAACACAUGCAAGUCGAGCGAGAACCAGGACUUCGGUUCUGGGGACAGCGGCGAACGGGUGAGUAACACGUGGGUAAUCUGCCCUCGAUUCUGGGAUAGCCCGGGGAAACUCGGAUUAAUACCGGAUAGCCUUUCAAGCUUUCGGGCGUGAAAGAAAAGGUAGCUUCGGCCUCCGAUCGAGGAUGAGCCCGCGGUGGAUUAGCUUGUUGGCGGGGUAAUGGCCCACCAAGGCGACUAUCCAUAGCUGGUCUGAGAGGACUAUCAGCCACACUGGGACUGAGACACGGCCCAGACUCCUACGGGAGGCAGCAGUGGGGAAUCU